GAUGAACGCUAGCGAUAGGCUUAACACAUGCAAGUCGAGGGGCAGCACAAGGUAGCUUGCUAUCUGGGUGGCGACCGGCGCACGGGUGCGUAACGCGUAUGCAACUUGCCCUAUACAGGAGGAUAACCCGUCGAAAGACGGACUAAUACUGCGUAUGCUCACAACUUGGCAUCAAGUGGUGAGGAAAGAAAUUCGGUUUAGGAUAGGCAUGCGUCCCAUUAGCUUGUUGGUGAGGUAACGGCUCACCAAGGCAACGAUGGGUAGGGGAACUGAGAGGUUUAUCCCCCACACUGGUACUGAGACACGGACCAGACUCCUACGGGAGGCAGCAGUGAGGAAUAUUGGUCAAUGGGCGCGAGCCUGAACCAGCCAAGUCGCGUGAAGGAUGACUGUCUUAUGGAUUGUAAACUUCUUUUAUACGGGAAUAACAAGAGUCACGUGUGACUCCCUGCAUGUACCGUAUGAAUAAGCAUCGGCUAACUCCGUG
rnacentral:rRNA from 1 species